rnacentral:rRNA from 1 species
UGGGGAAUAUUGGACAAUGGGCGCAAGCCUGAUCCAGCCAUGCCGCGUGUGUGAAGAAGGCCUUUUGGUUGUAAAGCACUUUAAGCGAGGAGGAGGCUACCGAGAUUAAUACUCUAGGAUAGUGGACGUUACUCGCAGAAUAAGCACCGGCUAACUCUGUGCCAGCAGCCGCGGUAAUACAGAGGGUGCGAGCGUUAAUCGGAUUUACUGGGCGUAAAGCGUGCGUAGGCGGCUUCUUAAGUCGGAUGUGAAAUCCCUGAGCUUAACUUAGGAAUUGCAUUCGAUACUGGGAAGCUAGAGUAUGGGAGAGGAUGGUAGAAUUCCAGGUGUAGCGGUGAAAUGCGUAGAGAUCUGGAGGAAUACCGAUGGCGAAGGCAGCCAUCUGGCCUAAUACUGACGCUGAGGUACGAAAGCAUGGGGAGCAAACAGG